rnacentral:rRNA from 1 species
AAAAGGUGGCUAUACUACCGCUUUUGGAUGGGCCCGCGGCGCAUUAGCUAGUUGGUAGGGUAAAGGCUUACCAAGGCAAUGAUGCGUAGCCGAAUUGAGAGGUUGAUCGGCCACAUUGGGACUGAGACACGGCCCAAACUCCUACGGGAGGCAGCAGUAGGGAAUCUUCCACAAUGGGCGAAAGCCUGAUGGAGCAACGCCGCGUGGGUGAAGAAGGUCUUCGGAUCGUAAAACCCUGUUGUUAGAGAAGAAAGUGCGUGAGAGUAACUGUUCACGUUUCGACGGUAUCUAACCGGAAAGCCACGGCUAACUACGUGCCAGCAGCCGCGGUAAUACGUAGGUGGCAAGCGUUAUCCGGAUUUAUUGGGCGUAAAGGGAACGCAGGCGGUCUUUUAAGUCUGAUGUGAAAGCCUUCGGCUUAACCGGAGUAGUGCAUUGGAAACUGGGAGACUUGAGUGCAGAAGAGGAGAGUGGAACUCCAUGUGUAGCGGUGAAAUGCGUAGAUAUAUGGAAGAACACCAGUGGCGAAAGCGGCUCUCUGGUCUGUAACUGACGCUGAGGUUCGAAAGCGUGGGUAGCAAACAGGAUUAGAUACCCUGGUAGUCCACGCCGUAAACGAUGAAUGCUAAGUGUUGGAGGGUUUCCGCCCUUCA